AGCACAAAAUGCAGGCAUCCCUCAAAAGAAACACAUCCAAAUGGUUUUGCAAGUACCAUUAGCUAACGUGGUUGAGUGUCUUUAUGUGUAGAAUUACGUAAGGAGUAUGGAAGGCAGGUCAAGACCAAAGUGAAAUGGUGCGCCUGCUUUCUUGGGGUCCACUUGCCAUGGAAGACACGUUCACUCAUUCGUUCAUCCCACAAAUACUGAAAUCUCACCAUGAGCUGGCUCUGCACUAGAUGUGGGGACAUGACCCUAAAAGGGAGGGAGGCAUAGCAAACUAGUAUAGUGAAAGGGAUAAUCUGUAUUGGUUUGAAAGGGAUAAACUCUCUAAAUAAUGCCUGUGAGGUCUUAGGAGGCUGGAGUGAUGAAACUGGAUUGCAUUUUUCCAGGAAGAAGACCUCCUUGAGAAGAAAACGGAACAUGGCCCUAACAGUGGGCAGCAUGAAACUGAGGAACACAGCAGGAAGCUGAUUUAGGCAAACUCAGCAGGAACUGGCCAGAGGCUGGUAGGAGGAUUAUUAUGGGCAGGCUGGCUUUCCUCAACUCUUAAUAACACCACCACUCCACACAGAAAAGAACUUCUCUUAUGACUGCCCUCUUUUCCUCAUAAAUCCCUCAAUGAGUUUUCUGAGAAUGGGCCCAAUGGGCUGGCUGUUCUGGAAGGACUUUAAUCAGCUUUCUUCAUGAUGGACUGGAGGGAAAGGAAGUGUUCCCUGUGAACCCAUGAGACUUCAUCCCUGCGUUGGUCUGGCUGGCUUUCCCUGUGAGAUACAGGUUCCUCCUGAAGAGCUGAAGCUCCAUUCCAGCUCUAGACUUCUCCUUGCUUUCAGACUUCAAGAUGAGAAGCAUUUUUCCAGUCCACAAGUGUUAGAGGACACUGCCGAUGAUGUGUGUUUUGCCCAGGCUGGACUCAGCUUCUUUGUCUCGCAGCCUGGCGAAGAGGCAGUGCUGUGCCAGGAAAUAGCACCCAGGCAGGACUCCAGGGUGGGGACCGCUAAUCUGGCUUUGCCACAAUUUUGAAAGAAGAGUCAUGCUUCAAUUAAUAACAGACAACGGAGUCAAUAUGAAGGGAGCAGAGACAAUGAUGUGAUCAAAUGCCAAGAAAUGACUGACAGCAGAAAAAAUAUCAUGACCACUGUGGGAGGAGGUACUUUCUCUUUGUCAGAAGAACAGAAGCAAAUGGUCUGCUUAUAGCCUUUUAUGUGACGAUGUGCCCUUUCUGCCACUGCAAGGGAAAGAGUCAUCUUUGCUCCUCCAUUUUGGUUUAUCCUAAGAAAGACCAACACUAUGUCUAGCCCAGAGAGAGAAACACAUAAAAUAAAUACAAGUUAAAUCUUCAAUGGGACAUCAAGUUCCAUGUACAAGGCUAACCUAGACUAUAAAGUC
rnacentral:lncRNA from 1 species